rnacentral:rRNA from 1 species
AUUGAACGCUGGCGGCAGGCUUAACACAUGCAAGUCGAGCGGAGCGAGGGUGCUUGCACCUUAGCUUAGCGGCGGACGGGUGAGUAAUGCUUAGGAAUCUGCCUAUUAGUGGGGGACAACAUUCCGAAAGGAAUGCUAAUACCGCAUACGCCCUACGGGGGAAAGCAGGGGAUCUUCGGACCUUGCGCUAAUAGAUGAGCCUAAGUCGGAUUAGCUAGUUGGUGGGGUAAAGGCCUACCAAGGCGACGAUCUGUAGCGGGUCUGAGAGGAUGAUCCGCCACACUGGGACUGAGACACGGCCCAGACUCCUACGGGAGGCAGCAGUGGGGAAUAUUGGACAAUGGGCGGAAGCCUGAUCCAGCCAUGCCGCGUGUGUGAAGAAGGCCUUUUGGUUGUAAAGCACUUUAAGCGAGGAGGAGGCUCUUAAGGUUAAUACCCUUGAUGAGUGGACGUUACUCGCAGAAUAAGCACCGGCUAACUCUGUGCCAGCCGCCGCGGUAACAC